AACUUAAGGACGAGCCCACCUAAACGUUAAGCAUUCUAAAAAUAGAAUCAUUAGCACAAACCAACAAUACCAACAACCACAUGAUCAAGUGAAUUGCAGCGGAAUAGCUGCGCUUGAUUGUGUUGGCAUAACAAAAAUGAAAAUAGUGGAAAAAAGCAAACGAUAAUUUACAAGGCGUACUUAGCACGGUGCAUAGGCAACUGGCUGAGUCAGUGGGAUCGUCGGUUCGAAUCCUACUGAAAGAAGUCUGAUGAGGAAAUGUGGUGAUUUCCGAAAUAGCUAUCACUUCUACCAUUUUUUCAAAUUAUUGUUGCUUUUCCACAAUAAAUUUUCAUUUAAAAAAUGGCCUCGAGCUCAUUAUAAAAUUGUUGAAUAUAAUUGUUAAAAGGCCAAAAAA